UACAACUUUCAGCGGUGGAUGUUAGGUUCCCACAACGAUGAAGAACGCAGCGAAAUGCGAUACGUAUGCGAAUUGCAAGACCUCGUGAUCAUUAAGAUUUUGAACGCACAUUGCGCUUUCGGGAUUUUCCCGGUAGCAUGCUUGUCUGAGUGUCUGUG
rnacentral:rRNA from 1 species